GAAGGAUUUUAGCAUGUCCGCCGGUAGCACAAAUCAGCAAAAAUAAAUCAGCUGCUCUGCAAAAACAAAGCAACGGCAGGAGCCACAGGUGGUGGUGGUGAGAAUAGAGUAGCAGUGGGAGUGGAGGUUAGAUGGACAUUAGGCCUAUGCUGGGGGUGUCCCAGGAGCUGGAGAAGUCCCGGGCUGGCAACCCCCCAUUCCUCCUUGACCACACCAGUGGUGAUUAUUAAUAAAAUUUAAAUCUCUUUAUUUUGGUCAGCAACCAACAUGAGAUUAAAACAAAGGUAGAAGAGAAGACAAACAAACUUCUACUACAAACAAUAAAACCAAAUCAAUUUUUUAAAGUCCUCCUGAACAUAGAUCAAGGUAUUGCUUCUUGGCCUUUUGGCAAAGAUCAGGAAUUGUUUAGUUCUCAGUUCCAAGGACACUCUGAAUGGUAUCCAUUAAGAAUCUUUUCAAGGGAAAAAUAAAAGCAAUUAAAAAAAUAGAAGCCUUUGUUCUCUGCCAUAGGACAGAGAUCCUUUUUCUCCUGGCCUCUUUUGUUUUCUGAGAGAUUAUGCUGCUGACUCCAUUUUGAAAUGAGGUGAACAAAGAACUUUGGGAAAUCACGUGUGAGGCCCUGCUGGAAACAGAUCUCAGCCAGACAGUGUAAGAUGUAGUUUUAUUUUAUGGAUGUGUGACCAUUUAAAAAAUAAUCUUUAUUUUUACUUUUCAAUGUGAUGCAAAUUCUCAUUUUCUUAAAGAAAUUCAAUUUAACAGUUUUCAUACAAUCCUGUACCAUGGAUCUUUAACACUCUAUUUACCCUUGGGAGUUCUGGUGACAGCAUAGUAUAGAUUCCCUAGUAAUACUGAGGUUCCUUCAUAGAAACAGUGAGUAUAUUACAUCCUUGAUGUAUAUUUUACCAAAUCUAGGAUGAACUGGCUCCCUGUUAUCUGAAUGUAUUGUGUAUCUUCCUCUCAGUUCCAUUUUGGUUUAUUCUUAUAUGAACAAGCAAUCUCUCUUAUCAGAACCUUUGAUUAACUAAAUGUUUUCAACACCCCCGAUAGGUGAUUUAUACUAGAUUUUGUAAUAUGUUGCUGUAUUUAGCAGAGUCCGUUCUAUCUACUAACCUAAUUUGUCUGCAACAUGGUGAUGCAUUUUGUACUCAUGCAAUUGAUACAGCAAAUUGCAUUACUUGUCAAUGCUGCAUAAACUGCAAGUUG